GAGUGAGAGUCAUACGACCAGCUCCUUUCGAACUCCCCCAGGGCAGAAAUGCAGCAAGGGUAGAUAGUCGAGCGGUGCGAUAUGAUUUCUCACUUUUU
rnacentral:SRP_RNA from 1 species